rnacentral:miRNA from 1 species
UCAUGGAAUCUCAGCUGCUGCA